rnacentral:sRNA from 1 species
AAUUUCUUCGAAAACGACGUGCACGUCAGCGACGGCUUCAGGCUGUACCAUCGAAUAAUAAAAAGAAAAGUAAUAAUAAUAAUAUAAUGUCAUCGACUUCGUCCGGCAAAUCGAGAAGAGCCGCAUCGCUUUCGUCGAUCAAUAAUUUUGAGCACUUGGCGUAAGGGGUUUUUUUCUGAAAGCGUUCACGGAGUUCUGGCUUCCCUCACUAAUUGAAAUGGAAGAGUUUGUGCCGAACUAGGCCAUUUUGGCUCGGCCAUAUCUGUGGUAGAUUUACGGCGCGUUGCGUGUCGCGUCGCGGCUCGAUUUUAGUUGUAAAACUAAAUGUAUUUGUCCGUGUGGAGUACACGACACUUUUCCACGCGUUGUCCGGCAGGCGAUUGCCAAUAGAGCGCGAAUAAUUCAAUGAGGAAGGCCAGAACCCCGUGAGCGUUGGGAAAUUUUUACAAAAAAAAUUCGAAAAUCACAGUAAAUGCCUAAAAUAAUAAUAGGAAUAAUUUUUUUAAAACAAAAAUUAAAAAUCGACUGUUUUUUCCCGUAAAAUCGAUAAUUUAACGGAAAUUACGAAAAAAUUAAAUUAAAAUUACGUGCGAAAAAAUUAAAUUAAUUUCGAAAAAAAAAUUUUGAAAAUUUCAUUCCUUAUUUUCAUAGUAAUUCAUAGUAAUUUCAUAGUAAUUUUCAUAGUAAACUCGAUAUGUCGUUUCAUCCAUUUCUCAGCGCAAGGUAAUUGUCUUACUUUAUAUUUUUGUAUUUUUAAUCGAAAAUUUAAAAAGAUCUAAAACUUUCCGAAAUUUUAACAUAUUCGUUUCCAGAUCGGUCGAAAAAGCUGGAUGGUUGAACAAAUGGACAAACUACUUGAAAGGAUACCGGCAGCGGUGGUUUGUACUCGACUCGAACGCCACACUCAGUUAUUAUAGG